GGGCUGGCUUUAGCUCAGCAGUUACUUCAACAAAGCUUUCUAUGGUUAAAAACAACCACUCUGCAUGGUUCGAGACCCACAGGUGCUCUCCAGCCCUUUU
ensembl:misc_RNA Vault Vault RNA